ensembl:lncRNA
AUGAGGGGCCUGGUGAGAGGGAGCAGGGUGCUGGGGGGUGCACCGCCCUGGCUGCUCCCAGCUCGUGGAUUCCUGAGGUGGUGGGGGGGGAUCCUGUCUCUUCACCCUACCCCUGGCAUCUGCCUUCCCGGUCAACUGGGGAGCUUUCUGGGUAUCCCCCCCCACCCCCCCCCCGCCUACAUGGAACCAAAAGUAAGCAAAGCCCUCAUGGGCCCCUGGGGGCUAUACAGGCGGGCCCUCCUCCAGGUUAGCUCUACCCUCCCAGGCCAGGUGACCCGUGCCCCACUGCCUUGGGCUCCGCCAGGGUCGCUCCUGUGCUCUUCUCCCCUCUGCCGUCCUCCCUCUGGUGUCCUCCCCUCUGCUAUCCUCCCUCUGCUGUCCUCCCUCUGCCGUCCUCCUCCCUCUGCCGUUCUCCUCCCUCUGCUGUCCUCCCUCUGGUAUCCUCCCCUCUGCCAUCCUCCUCCCUCUGCUGUCCUCCCUCUGGUAUCCUCCCCUCUGCCAUCCUCCUCCCUCUGCUGUCUUCCCUCUGCCGUCCUCCUCCCUCUGGUGUCCUCCCCUCUGCCGUCCUCCUUCCUCUGCCGUCGUCCCCUCUGGUAUCCCCCCCUCUGCCAUCCUCCCCUCUGCUGUCCUCCCUCUGCUGUCCUCCCCUCUGGUAUCCUCCCCUCUGCCAUCCUCCUCCCUCUCCUGUCCUCCCUCUGGUAUCCUCCCAUCUGCCAUCCUCCUCCCUCUGCUGUCCUCCCCUCUGGUAUCCUCCCCUCUGCCAUCCUCCCUCUGCUGUCCUCCUCUCUGGUAUACUCCCCUCUGCCGUCCUCCUCCCUCUGCUGUCCUCCCUCUGGUAUCCUCCCCUCUGCCGUCCUCCCUCUGCUGUCCUCCCCUCUGGUAUCCUCCCCUCUGCCAUCCUCCUCCCUCUGCUGUCCUCCCCUCUGGUAUCCUCCCCUCUGCCAUCCUCCUCCCUCUGCUGUCUUCCCUCUGCCGUCCUCCUCCCUCUGCUGUCCUCCCUCUGGUAUCCUCCCCUCUGCCAUCCUCCUCCCUCUGCUGUCCUCCCCUCUGGUAUCCUCCCCUCUGCCAUCCUCCUCCCUCUGCUGUCCUCCCCUCUGGUAUCCUCCCCCCUCUGCUGUCUUCCCUCUGCCGUCCUCCUCCCUCUGCUGUCCUCCCUCUGGUAUCCUCCCCUCUGCCGUCCUCCUCCCUCUGCUGUCCUCCCCUCUGGUAUCCUCCCCUCUGCCAUCCUCCUCCCUCUGCUGUCCUCCCUCUGGUAUCCUCCCCUCUGCCAUCUUCCUUCCUCUGCCGUCCUCCCUCGGGUAUCCUCCCCUCUGCCAUCCUCCUCCCUCUGCUGUCUUCCCUCUGCCAUCCUCCUCCCUCUGGUGUCCUCCCCUCUGCCAUCCUCCUCCCUCUGCUGUCCUCCCUCUGGUAUCCUCCCCUCUGCCAUCCUCCUCCCUCUGGUGUCCUCCCCUCUACCGUCCUCCUCCCUCUGCUGUCCUCCCCUCUGCCGUCCUCCCUCUGGUAUCCUCCCUUCUGCCAUCCUCCUCCCUCUGCUGUCUUCCCUCUGCCAUCCUUCUCCCUCUGCUGUCCUCCCCUCUGCCGUCCUCCUCCCUCUGCUGUCCUCCUCCCUCUGGUGUCCUCCCCUCUGCCGUCCUCCUCCCUCUGGUGUCCUCCCGUCUGCCGUCCUCUCUGCCAUCCUCCUCCCUCUUCUGUCCUCCCUCUGGUAUCCUCCCCUCUGCCAUCCUCCUCCCUCUGCUGUCUUCCCUCUGCCAUCCUCCUCCCUCUGGUGUCCUCCCCUCUGCCGUCCUCCUCCCUCUGCUGUCCUCCCCUCUGGUAUCCUCCCCUCUGCCGUCCUCCCUCUGGUAUCCUCCCUUCUGCCAUCCUCCUCCCUCUGCUGUCUUCCCUCUGCCAUCCUUCUCCCUCUGGUGUCCUCCCCUCUGCCGUCCUCCUCCCUCUGGUAUCCUCCCCUCUGCCGUCCUCCUCCCUCUGCUGUCCUUCCUCUGCCGUCCUCCUCCCUCUGGUGUCCUCCCCUCUGCCGUCCUCCUCCCGUCUGCCGUCCUCCUCUCUGCCAUCCUCCUCCCUCUUCUGUCCUCCCUCUGGUAUCCUCCCCUCUGCUGGCUGAGAGCAGGGUUUCCCAGCCAUGGGCCGCAUGAUCUUUCACUCUGGCUUCUAAGAUACUCUAGCUCCAAACUCACCUUUCAGGUCAGGGGGAGUUUGCUGGGCAGGCAAGAGUUUAACCCAACCCCGGCCGGGCGCGGUGGCUCAAGCCUGUAA